rnacentral:rRNA from 1 species
CCUACGGGUGGCAGCAGUGGGGAAUAUUGCACAAUGGGGGAAACCCUGAUGCAGCGACGCCGCGUGAGUGAAGAAGUAAUUCGUUAUGUAAAGCUCUAUCAGCAGGGAAGAAACAGACGGUACCUGAUUAAGAAGCCCCGGCUAACUACGUGCCAGCAGCCACGGUAAUACGUAGGGGGCAAGCGUUAUCCGGAUUUACUGGGGGUAACGGGAGCGUAGACGGCAGUGCAAGUCUGGAGUGAAAGGCGGGGGCGCAACCCCCGGACUGCUCUGGAAACUGUACGGCUGGAGUGCAGGAGAGGUAAGUGGAAUUCCUAGUGUAGCGGUGAAAUGCGUAGAUAUUAGGAGGAACACCAGUGGCGAAGGCGGCUUACUGGACUGUAACUGACGUUGAGGCUCGAAAGCGUGGGGAGCAAACAGGAUUAGAUACCCCUGUAGUC